GUCUGGUUACUUUUUCGCAGAUAGUGGCAUUCUCUCUAUCGGAGCUAGUAUAGAACAAGCAACUGUAUCUCCCGUGGCAAUUUUCUUCUCCAAUCACAAGUUGAUAAGAUAAGGUUUUCGACAAUGAGCCUCAAAGAUCAGAAAGCAAAAUUUGAGUUCAAGAGCAAACCGAGCUUCAGAACCAUUUCGACUUCCCCGAGUGUAAAUUUAUCUCUCAACCGUGUAUCUAUAGCGUCAACUAGAGAAUGUUUCCUCCAGCAUUCACAAACCCAUUUGACCAGAUGUCGUUUCUCUACUGGCAUCUCAGGAUCAAAUGGUCUCCUACCACAUGUUACUUCAAGCAUGAAUGCACCAAAUGCAUACACAUCGGUUUUUGUGGAAGUUCCUGUUGAUAUUAACUCCAGAGCCAUGUAACCUAUGGUUCCUACAGCUGCUGUUGCAGAGAGGUAACAGAGUGCAGAUGCAAUAUCUCUCAGUAUUGCGAGUCUUUGAGACCAAGAGAGAGGUGGUUUAUCGCCAUUAAACAAGUAUUGAUCGACGCUACCUCCUUCCAUGUACUUAGAGACCAGCAAUAACUCGCCUUUUCUCCUGCAAUACCCGAGAAGAGAUAAUAUCCUCCAAGACCCCCGAUCACUACGAGGGUGAGUAUAACCAAAAGAACAAUAAGCAGAGGAGAUCUUUUUCUCUUCUGUUCCGUGAAAAGAGGAACUGUGGAAAGUUCAGAGAUGUCAAGGCUCUUUAAUAAUCGUCUGCUUCUGCUGAAACUCCACCCUAAGAUGUAUUGGUUACUAAUCGAUGAUCCAGUUGCAGCCGAAAACCCGACAAAAGCUUUUCGAUCCGGGAAGAUUGCGGUGAGGUUGAUGGUUCUUGACAAAAGAGGCUUACUUGGUUUCUGAUUUCUUAGAGGUGCUAAAGUAACAUUAAGUAGAGUAUCUUCAUAAUCGACCCAUACCUGAAUAGGAUCUCCACUCAAGAGUAUUAAGCUUAUGUUUUUCCCUUCUCUGUCGGAAUAAUAGGAAGCUGAAGCAGAAACGACAGAUUGGAUUCUGUUUUCGUCUAUACCGACAUGGUUGUUAUCCAUGUCAUCAGUCUCUGCGCUUUGGACCGUAUCAAGCUCGACAGCUAAAACGUGAGAAGAAGGAGAUCCGUUAGUUGAUCUGUUGAAAAGUCCUAAGUAACUACUUGCAUAUGCUUUUUUGAGAUUAUGUGCAGAUGAUAGCACAAAAGCAAUCCCGUGACCACCAUAAAAUCCUGGCUUAGGGACAAGAGCGCAAACGAAUUGAGUAAAGAAGGAGAGAGACUGAGAUGAAGCUGAACCGAAAUCGAAUGGUCGGUUGAAGAAGGCAUGACCCUUUUGCUGAGUCGUGCCAUCGGUUAGCUGCAAAACUCUUUCUGGAGAUUGGAUUCUUGCAAAGCCAUCAAGGAGAAGUUCAUCACCAGCUUGGUCUUGGUUAAAGCCAUUGAAGACGAAACUUAAGUCUUGUUGACUUGAAAAGCAAAUCAGAUUAACUAAGAAGAUCAAGAGGAGAAGAAGAAGAUAAAAUCUUUGAGCCAUUGGUAUUGAAAAAACCAGAGACAAGCCUCGUUUAUUUUCUACGUUCCAAGUCCAAUAGAAAUAUUCUCUCCAGGCAAGAAAGAGUUGACUUAGAACUUCUUAAGAUGUAUAACCUGAUCAUUACUCUCAAAAUAAUAGUUUUGUACGUUUUAACAAUGUCAAGUCGGAACUAAAUUAAAGCGAAAUACCC
rnacentral:misc_RNA from 1 species